rnacentral:rRNA from 1 species
GACGAACGCUGGCGGCGUGCUUAACACAUGCAAGUCGAACGGAAAGGCCCUGCUUUUGUGGGGUGCUCGAGUGGCGAACGGGUGAGUAACACGUGAGUAACCUGCCCUUGACUUUGGGAUAACUUCAGGAAACUGGGGCUAAUACCGGAUAGGAGCUCCUGCUGCAUGGGGGGGGUUGGAAAGUUUCGGCGGUUGGGGAUGGACUCGCGGCUUAUCAGCUUGUUGGUGGGGUAGUGGCUUACCAAGGCUUCGACGGGUAGCCGGCCUGAGAGGGUGACCGGCCACAUUGGGACUGAGAUACGGCCCAGACGCCUACGGGAGGCAGCAGUGGGGAAUAUUGCACAAUGGGCGGAAGCCUGAUGCAGCAACGCCGCGUGCGGGAUGACGGCCUUCGGGUUGUAAACCGCUUUCGCCUGUGACGAAGCGUGAGUGACGGUAAUGGGUAAAGAAGCACCGGCUAACUACGUG